AUACAAAUCUUGCUGUUCUGAUCUGGUAAUAAUGAGGACAGGCUAAAUAUUUGUAAUAAUAGGAUCAUGUAUGUGUCCCUAGUCCUAAGUCUUUACCUAUGUAGGUCUAAUCUUAUUGCUGGUGACAAAU